rnacentral:lncRNA from 1 species
CCCAAUUGAACCUUCGGUUGAUUAACUCGUGAAAGACAACAUGCCCUUCUGAGCCUAAGUCGAAAUAACAAGAGUUACCGAGAUCAAGGUACGCUUUCUUGAUUGCCUUUAGUGUUUCUGAGUUCUCGUUGUCUGAAUAAUCGAUUACCCCUCUCCAUGCACAAUAACCCGAAUAUCUAUAAUGAAAAAGAUGGUUUAUCUCAAACUUAUUCAGAAUCGAAUAUGUUAGAAUAGAAAAGUAGAAAAAGCUAGAAUACAAUUAGCCACAACAAAACAUCUACAGCUAAACCUCUAUAAAUUAAUACAGUCGGGACUAGGGAAAUUCUAUUAAUUUAGUGAAUUAUUAACUUAUCGAGUUAAUAAUUUAACAUGUUUUCACCGAGUCGAGUUUAUUAAUUUAUCGAGGUUCUACUGUAAUUAGCAAAGACUUGUUUAUAUAGUUGGUUUGAUAUAAUACCUGAGUUUGUGAUCAGGGAGAAAAUGUUUUCGUAUAGGAGAGAGGCUACCAUCAGCUGCGACAAGAAGAUCGGCAACUAUCUCGACAGUUUCGUCGGUUUGAAGAAGCUUAGCUACCACUUUGACCGAACUUUUAUCUUCAGAAAUGGACAAGGAUAAGAAGAAGUGUCCCCACAAGAGAACAACCUCCGGC